rnacentral:rRNA from 1 species
UGGGGAAUAUUGGACAAUGGGGGCAACCCUGAUCCAGCAAUUCUGUGUGCACGAAGAAGGUUUUCGGAUUGUAAAGUGCUUUCAGCAGGGAAGAAAAAAAUGACGGUACCUGCAGAAGAAGCGACGGCUAAAUACGUGCCAGCAGCCGCGGUAAUACGUAUGUCGCAAGCGUUAUCCGGAAUUAUUGGGCAUAAAGGGCAUCUAGGCGGCCAGAUAAGUCUGGGGUGAAAACUUGCGGCUCAACCGCAAGCCUGCCCUGGAAACUAUAUGGCUAGAGUACUGGAGAGGUGGACGGAACUGCACGAGUAGAGGUGAAAUUCGUAGAUAUGUGCAGGAAUGCCGAUGAUGAAGAUAGUUCACUGGACGGUAACUGACGCUGAAGUGCGAAAGCUAGGGGAGCAAACAGGAUUAGAUACCCUGGUAGUCCUAGCUGUAAACGAUGAUUACUGGGUGUGGGCAUGAAGAGUGUCCGUGCCGAAGCUAAUGCGAUAAGUAAUCCGCCUGGGGAGUACGGCCGCAAGGCUG